UACGUAGGGUGCGAGCGUUAAUCGGAAUUACUGGGCGUAAAGCGUGCGCAGGCGGUGAUGUAAGACCGAUGUGAAAUCCCCGGGCUUAACCUGGGAACUGCAUUGGUGACUGCAUUGCUGGAGUAUGGCAGAGGGGGGGUGGAAUUCCAGGUGUAGCAGUGAAAUGCGUAGAGAUCUGGAGGAACACCGAUGGCGAAGGCAGCCCCCUGGGCUAACACUGACGCUCAUGCACGAAAGCGUGGGGAGCAAACAGG
rnacentral:rRNA from 1 species